GAUAGAGGCCUACCAUGGUUUUAACGGGUAACGGGGAAUUAGGGUUCGAUUCCGGAGAGGGAGCCUGAGAAACGGCUACCACAUCCAAGGAAGGCAGCAGGCGCGCAAAUUACCCAAUCCCGACACGGGGAGGUAGUGACAAUAAAUAACAAUACGGGGCUCAUUUGGGUCUCGUAAUUGGAAUGAGUACAAUUUAAAUCUCUUAACGAGGAACAAUUGGAGGGCAAGUCUGGUGCCAGCAGCCGCGGUAAUUCCAGCUCCAAUAGCGUAUAUUAAAGUUGUUGCAGUUAAAAAGCUCGUAGUUGAACUUCGGGGUUUACCCAUUGGUCAGGCUUAAUUGUCUGUACUGGUGAGAUAAAUCUCUACCUUCUGAGGAACUUUCAUGUCAUUAAUUUGGUGUGAUUGGAAAUCAGGACUGUUACUUUGAAAAAAUUAGAGUGUUUAAAGCAGGCUAACGUCUGAAUACAUUAGCAUGGAAUAAUGAAAUAGGACGGAUUGAUUCUAUUUCGUUGGUUUCUAGGAUCACCGUAAUGAUUAAUAGGGAUAGUUGGGGGCAUUAGUAUUCAAUUGUCAGAGGUGAAAUUCUUGGAUUUAUUGAAGACUAACUACUGCGAAAGCAUUUGCCAAGGAUGUUUUCAUUAAUCAAGAACGAAAGUUAGGGGAUCGAAGACGAUCAGAUACCGUCGUAGUCUUAACCAUAAACUAUGCCGACUAGGGAUCGGACGAA
rnacentral:rRNA from 1 species